rnacentral:rRNA from 1 species
UACGGAGGGUGCAAGCGUUAUCCGGAUUCACUGGGUUUAAAGGGUGCGUAGGCGGGCUUGUAAGUCAGUGGUGAAAGCCCGGAGCUUAACUCCGGAAUUGCCGUUGAUACUGCAAGUCUUGAGUACAGUUGAGGUGGGCGGAAUACAUCAUGUAGUAGUGAAAUACGUAGAUAUGAUGUAGAACACCGAGUGCGAAGGCAGCUCACUAAAGUGUAACGGACGCUGAGGCACGAAAGCGUGGGGAGCAAACAGG